GACGAACGCUGGCGGCGUGCUUAACACAUGCAAGUCGACCGGAGCGGCGAACGGGUGAGUACCGCGUGAGUAACUGCCCCCCUCUCUGGGAUAACAGUUGGAAACGGAUGCUAAUACCGGAUAGUGGGGGAUGACUCGCGUCCUAUCAGCUUGUUGGUGAGGUAGUGGCCUACCAAGGCGACGACGGGUAGCCGGCCGGGGAGGGCGACCGGCCACAUUGGGCUGAGAGACGGCCCAGACUCCUACGGGGGGCAGCAGUGGGGAAUAUGGCACAAUGGGGGAAACCCUGAUGCAGCAGCGUCGCGUGCGGGAUGACGGCCGUCGGGGUGUAAACCGCUUUCAGCCAUGACGCGGUAGUGGCAGAAGAAGCACCGGCUAACUACGUGCCAGCAGCCGCGGUAAUUC
rnacentral:rRNA from 1 species